rnacentral:rRNA from 1 species
UACGUAGGGUGCGAGCGUUGUCCGGAAUUAUUGGGCGUAAAGAGCUCGUAGGCGGUGUGUCACGUCGGCCGUGAAAACCUGCAGCUUAACUGUGGGCGUGCGGUCGAUACGGGCAUCACUGGAGUUCGGCAGGGGAGACUGGAAUUCCCGGUGUAGUGGUGAAAUGCGUAGAUAUCUGGAGGAAUACCGGUGGCGAAGGCGGCAUCCUGGACCGACAUUGACGCUGAACGGCGAAAGCUAGGGGAGCAAACGGG